rnacentral:rRNA from 1 species
GAUGAACGCUGACAGAAUGCUUAACACAUGCAAGUCGAUGGGGAAGUGGUGCUUGCACCAUGGUAACCCUGGCGGACGGGUGAGUAACACGUAAGGAACUUACCUGCGGGACCGGGAUAACAGCAGGAAACUGCUGACAAGACCGGAUAAGGUCAUUAAGCUGCAUAGCUUAGUGAUGAAAGGAGACGCCUGCGGAGAGCCUUGCGUCCUAUUAGCUAGUUGGAGGGGUAACGGCCCACCAAGGCGAAGAUAGGUAGCCGGCCUGAGAGGGUGGACGGCCACAAGGGGACUGAGAUACGGCCGUUACUCCUACGGGAGGCAGCAGUGGGGAAUAUUGGACAAUGGGGGCAACCCUGAUCCAGCAAUUCUGUGUGCACGAAGACGGUUUUCGGAUUGUAAAGUGCUUUCAGCAGGGAAGAAGGAAGUGACGGUACCUGCAGAAGAAGCGACGGCUAAAUACGUG